UUUAUAUCUUCAAAGAUUUAUUUGCAUGACACUACAAAAGUAUUCACUUUCCAGCUUCAAAUGUUGAUGAAUAUAUAUGCUUGCAUCUAAUUUUAGGCCACCAUAUAUCUGGCUUCACUUGAAAUUUUGGUGCUUCCACCUUUUUCAGUUUGUACAGUUACCUCAAAACUAAGCAGCUUUUUCACUUGUGAAUACUUUUCUGCUUCCAAAGUAGCAUCAAUAAUAUGUUCACGGGUGCUUGAUGAAAGGCCUAAUUCUACUAGCAUAGGGAGAUAACUAGGGACUAGAAGAGACUAGAGAUAAAUUUGAGUGUAGUAGUCUGUUUGACUUACCACUCUACAACUAAUUAAAGCU